CAGAUACUCUGAAGUCUUGAAUGUAUUAUUUUAAUGUGUGUUAAAGGUGCAUUUUGUUAUUUUCAGCUCAUUUCAUACAUAACGUGUGCAAUGGUUAAAAAGAGUGUUGAAAUUCAUUUUAUUUCAUCUGGUAAACGGAUAAAAAAAUACCAUAAUUCAUGGUAAAGGCUUAGAAAUAAUUCAUGUUGAUUAAAUGUGUGAAAAAUUUAUGAAAAUACUUACCUUGAGAAAAAAAGAGAACUGUACAGUUAAAAAGAUAAUUCAUCUAAGCAUUACUGUGUCAUUUUGUAUGAUGUUUCUGUUUUGCAUGGGUAUUUGUAAAUAAUUACGUAUUACUAAUAGGUGUAAUUACUUGCCGUGUCUGAGAAACAGAUGGAAGCAGCUUCGUGUCCACAGGACAGUCCUCAACAGAUGACAUUGUGUGCCCUGGAUAUUCAUCCUAUAAAGACGUCCCAUCCUCUUGCCGUGUCUGAGAAACAGAUGGAAGCAGCUUCGUGUCCACAGGACAGUCCUCAACAGAUGACAUUGUGUGUAUAAAGACGUCCCAUCCUCUUGCUGUGUCUGAGAAACAGAUGGAAGCAGCUUCGUGUCCACAGGACAGUCCUCAACAGAUGACAUUGUGUGCCCUGGAUAUUCAUCCUAUAAAGACGUCCCAUCCUCUUGCCGUGUCUGAGAAACAGAUGGAAGCAGUUUCGUGUCCACAGGACAGUCCUCAACAGAUGACAUUGUGUGUAUAAAGACGUCCCAUCCUCUUGCUGUGUCUGAGAAACAGAUGGAAGCAGCUUCGUGUCCACAGGACAGUCCUCAACAGAUGACAUUGUGUGCCACGGAUACUCAUCCUGCAAAGAGCUCCCAUCUUGCUGUCAUGUCUGAGAAACAGAUGGAAGA